ensembl:lncRNA
CUCUCUCUAUGUUUCAGAUGUGUUGUGGUGACGUUCUACCGGCCCCAUCCUCCUUCAUGCGUUUGUCAUUGACUUCCUGCCAGCCUCUGUUUGAGGAGCUCCUCCUCCUGCUGCAGCCCCUCAGUCUCCUGACCCUUAACCUCGACCUGCUCUUCCAGCACCACCACCUGGAUCCAGCCAAUCACAGCCCAGAGAUCCCCAGCCCAUCCAAUCAGGACCUGGGGUUCAGGCUCUCGCCCCGGGGGUCCGCAUCCCAAGGCAGUGGCAGCAGCUAUCUCGAGAGCCUAUCAGAGCUGGACUUUGGGAGAGCAGAACCCGAGGCGACCAAUCAUAAUGCGGGCUCGUCGUCCCUGGCCAACUCAGGGGUGGGAGGGUUGGUGGAGUCACUAAAGCCAGCGAGUCUCAGUGUGGGGCCUGCAAAGGUCUCUGGGCGUCUUGCGGAGACAAGUCCUCAGCUGAUGUGGGUUCAGGAGAAAGAAAUUAGGGAGCUAGCACCUCCUAAUGUUGGGGAGGCCAGUCUCUCCCAACAGGCAGGACAGGUGAUCCAGCAGGGAUGGGGGGCUGUGGUACGCUGGGGGGCAAGCUGGGCCAGAACCUGGCUGAACUCAGCCUGUCUGCAGUACAGAACCAGGAGGGGACAUCCAGAGACCCCCCAGAGCCCCAGACCAGUACCCAGGCCAGGAGUGACCCUCAUCAGGUCGAUGGAGCUUUGGCGGUCCCCUGGGGUUUGGGACGGCUGUUUGGAGCCUCCAAUAACUCCACGAUACCCACACUUCCAACCAGGUGCGCUGGUGUGUGUGUGUUUGUGUGAUAGUUUUCUGAUACUAGACAGUUGA